rnacentral:rRNA from 1 species
AUUGAACGCUGGCGGCAGGCCUAACACAUGCAAGUCGAACGAGUGGCGGACGGGUGAGUAAUGUCUGGGAAACUGCCUGACGGAGGGGGAUAACUACUGGAAACGGUAGCUAAUACCGCAUAUCAUCAGUUGUGCCCAGACGGGAUUAGCUAGUGGGGGGGGUAACGGCUCACAAAGGCGACGGCCCCCAGCUGGUCUGAGAGGGUGACCGGCCACACGGGAACUGGGACACGGUCCAGACUCCUACGGGAGGCAGCAGUGGGGAAUAUUGCAAAAUGGGCGCAAGCCUGCUGCAGCCAUGCCGCGUGUAUGAAGAAGGCCUUCGGGUUGUAAAGUACUUUCAGCGGGGAGGCGUUACCCGCAGAGGAAGCACCGGCUAACUCCGUGCCAGCAGCCGCGGUAAUUC